UCUUCCACGACUUUUGUGCCGUAGCUAACGCAUUAAGCGCCCCGCCUGGGGAGUACGGCCGCAAGGCUAAAACUCAAAGGAAUUGACGGGGGCCCGCACAAGCGGCGGAGCAUGUGGAUUAAUUCGAUGCAACGCGAAGAACCUUACCUGGGCUUGACAUAUGCAUGAUCGGCGUAGAGAUACGUUUUCCCUUGUGGUUUGUAUACAGGUGGUGCAUGGUUGUCGUCAGCUCGUGUCGUGAGAUGUUGGGUUAAGUCCCGCAACGAGCGCAACCCUUGUCUUAUGUUGCCAGCACGUUAUGGUGGGGACUCAUGAGAGACUGCCGGGGUUAACUCGGAGGAAGGUGGGGAUGACGUCAAAUCAUCAUGCCCCUUAUGUCCAGGGCUUCACACAUGCUACAAUGGUCGGUACAACGCGUUGCGAGCCUGUGAGGGUGAGCGAAUCGCUGAAAGCCGGCCUCAGUUCGGAUUGGGGUCUGCAACUCGACCCCAUGAAGUCGGAGUCGCUAGUAAUCGCAGAUCAGC
rnacentral:rRNA from 1 species